GACUCUUUGGCAACACGUUUCUAAGAUUUAAACCACUCUCCUAUUGCAAACGUAAUAUUUUGACGCAUUUGCUGACGUUAAAACUUAAAACGCGAUUUCUUAAGGACGUUGUAAGUUUCUAAUAUUUAGUUGUCUAAUACCUAAAAUUCACGUUUGCUAUAAUUCUAUAAUAUUGAAAAGUUGCAAUUUUCUCUGAUAGAUGUGCAGUUAAUUGCUCUGAAUAGCGUUCCUGAUUGAAAGAAAUCCUUAACUACUUGAAUUCAGAGCUGAUCAAUGGCCAGUUUUUUUUUGAAGAAUAGUGCAUUAUAGUCAUCAACUCCGGAUGCUUUAUCAUCUCCAAUGGCGUCAUAAAUUUCCUGAUAACGUGAUUUCAACACAUAGGUUGACCUGCUGCAUAUAUGUAAGUAUAGGUCCAAGUUUCAUCACCUGCCUUUUCACUGCUGGUAAUUGGACAGCAGCUGAUCCUAUCAAGGACUUACAGAAAGCAAUAACCUUUUCUUGGAUUUGAUGUUGGUCAUUAAGCCUAUUGUUAGGGAUAUAGUAGAUAUACCCUAAAUCUAAUAUCAUAUUUGAUAAAUUAAAUAUAUUUUUGUGAAUGUCACUUGAUAUAAAAAAAUAUGGCAUUUGAUAUUCUUUUAUCAUUAUUAUUAAUUGUUUGAUUAAUUUGAUAAGGUCCUUGAUUAAAUUUUGAGAUUUGUCAUCGUGAUAGAGAUCAUGAUAAUGAGAGCAAAGUCUCUUACAAUUAAGGCUGUAUCCGGUUUCGGUUGUGGGUCUAUUUGGGUCUGGCGUUCCGGUUCUGGCGGUUCUGAAGGUGGAACCGGCCCGUGACGGUUCCAGGUACCAUGCGGUUCCGGUUCUGGCGGGUCUGGCGGGUCUGAAAUUUUUUUUUUAAAUUCAAUAUCUUGUAUAGUAGUCAUUAAUAUA
rnacentral:lncRNA from 1 species